UAGGCAAACUCCAAAUGGUUGUUUGCGGACAAUAGCGAGGCAAAGUCGGCGGAAGUUUAAAAAGACUUGAAUGAAAGAACAACUAGGUAUUCUUUUUACAGAUUAAUAAAAGGAACAGGAUUUUAAAAUGGAUAGUUAACCUUCCAAGUGUUGAAAAAAAAAUUAAAAACAAAAGCCAAAUUAAUGACUUAAAAGUCCAAGUAACUUUUUUGAAAUAAAGUUUGGUCAGUUCAUAAAACAAGUAUUUUCUUUUUUUUUUUUUUUUUUUGAGAAAAAAGAGGAUUUGUUUACAGAAAAAAACAGGAAAGCAGAAAGACAGCGGUUUGAAUAGCACAAGCUGAACUAGCUUAUUUAUAACGAAAUUUUAAGUAAAUACUGGAGACAAAGGUUAGUUAUCCUCCCCCAAUAAGAUAACUGAGAAAAAGUCGAUUAAGAUAAAAUUAUGGAGAGAGAAAUCAAAAGAAAGAAGAAAGGCCUAAAAUAAUAAGAAGAUUGUAUAAUGACUAUGGAUUACUACUUUAAAAUAUAUCUCUUAAUAUCACAGUAUAUAAACACUCUUGACUAUUAGUGUGGAAAUUGAUGAUGGAUUGCAAAGAAAAGAUGAGCGGAUAGUUUCUAGAAAAAAUUUUGGAAUUCAAAAGACGAAGCAGUGAUGUAAAUAGCUUUUUUGCAGAGUUUCUUAUGUUGAAAUUGAAUAAUUACAUAGAAACUUGAAGGUUCAAGGUUCAUAAAAACGGAGAAAAUGGGAUAUAAUAGCAAAUAAAAGAGAGAAACAGAUAUUAUGUUUGUUUUUUAGAAAGAAUCUCAACAAAUUACAGAUAUUUUGAUUGUAUUGGAAUACUAAACAAAAAAAUAUGUAAGUAAAUAGUCAAGUGAGCAAAGUAGAACAAUGCUGGCCACGCGUUAAAGGGGGAAAGGUGGUUAGCGAAGAAUGGAAUGUUUUCAACUCAUUAUUGCCAUUCUACGAAUAUAAAAAC
rnacentral:misc_RNA from 1 species